CCUAUCAGUCCUUUAAAACGGCCAAUUCCGCGUUUCGGAGAACCUUCAUCUGUGAGAUUAGGGUUUCAUCUCAUCUGCUGCGCUUUCUAGAAUCGAAAAAAAUAAAAGCGAAUUCCGCGUCUACCAAUUUCUUCGAAAUUUCUGCUGCGAAUACGAAUCCAGCUCUGCCAAAAUGAGUCGUCCACAUGAUGGGCAACGACCCUUUUUCCCUUUUGGAAACCCUUUCCGUAUGAUCCUUCCAAAAGGGUCUGAUUUGUCCCCGAAGCUUCUUGCUCUGUUGAAUUCCUUUGAGCAAACCCUGGCGGAUAGGCUGAAAAAGCUCAAGCCAAAGGAUAAUUCUGAAGUGCUCAGCCUAUCAUGGAUGAGGUUGGCAAUGGACUCUCUAUGUGAAACACACAUGGCCAUCAAGACCUUAAUUACAGAACUUCAAUUUCCAAUAUCUGACUGGGAUGAGAAAUGGAUGGACACAUACUUGGACAACAGCGUGAAGUUGCUUGACAUUUGCAUUGCAUUUAGUUCCGAGAUCUCUCGACUGAACCAAGGCCACCUUUUGCUCCAAUAUGUGCUACACAUUUUGGACAGCUCGAGUGGUUUCCCAUCGAUGGAACAGCUCGUGCGAGCUAGGUCUUCUCUUCAUGAUUGGAUGCAACAAAUCAAUUCCAAGAAUUCAAAGCUAGAGAACUGUACCACAGUCUUACAUGGAUUGAUCAGAUCUCUUCAUUUGGCCAAGUUCAAGAACUCAGCCAAAGGAAAGGUUCUGAUGAGAGCUAUGCAUGGUGUGAAGGUCCAGACUGUAUUCAUUUGUAGUGUUUUCACAGCAGCUUUCUCAGGGUCUAUGGAACCACUGAUCAACUUGAAUAUUUCUGACAAGUUCUUGUGGUCUGAAGCCUUCAAUGAUUUACAAGUGAGUGUAAAUAGAGAGAUUAGGGGGCUGUUCUCGAACGGAACAGUUACGGUACUCAAAGAGGUAGAAGCAGUCCAUGGAGGUGUGCAGAAGCUGUAUUCCAUGACUGAUUUUAUUAGACAUGAGGAAUCUGAAAAUUUGAAGAAAUCCAUUUCAAGUUUGCAGGAGAGCAUGGAGAGGCUUGUGCAAGGGCUAGAUUCCCUAUCAAAGCAAGUGGAGAGUUUCUUCCAGACUGUUCUGACAGGCCGUGAUGCUUUGCUUUGUAAUCUAAGAAUAGCUGACCUGCCCCAAGAGAACAAUGGUCAAGAGCAGGUUGUAACAUGAUUCCUUCCAAGUUGCUAUUGUACUCCUGUUUUCUGGUUGGUCUGUUGGUUAGUGUUAAUGAUUUGCUCCGCAGGAUUGUGCCUCGACACGGGACAACCUCAGGAUAUUGUAAGCUCCAAACAACAUGGGCAUUGAGCAUGGACUGUUGUUGGUCUUCCAAUACCUGGGUGGUCCACCUGAUCAUUGUGGCUGCUGCCUGGGGCUUGUUCAAGCUUGACUCCCACCUGAUGAGUAGCUAGGAUCUCUUACAUGUAUCUCAUGUUGGCACGUGUGCUGUGGAGGAAACCCUAUUCGCACGUAAUUUCUUAGCAUUUCUUGUUAUAUUGAUAAUGGGCUCAUUCUUCUCAUUUACUGCUCUAACAGUUGUGCAUGUAUGUCUGGACUGAUUGGCAUUUUCCGAUUCUAGAAUUGCUUCCGUCCCUCUUCUUUUCAUGGAUAAAAGUCUUGCCACCUGUAGCUUA